CGCCCUCUGCAAGUGUGAAGCGACGGAGGACCAGAAGUAGUGCUCGGAGUAAGAAUAAGCCUCCACCGUGACAGAGCUGGACACCAGUGAAUGCCAAUAUCAACCUACAAGGUUAGCAGUGAUAAAUACAGGAAAUGACCUCACCCAAACUGCAGAGGUGGAAGAAGUACUCAGAUCUUGUACUCAAGUAAAAAGGAGGUGAAGCAGGAGCAGGUCUCACGUUGGCAGGCGUGUGUGUCCCCCUCCUCUGCAGGGCUCCAGGGACGGUCGUUGUAGAGGUCAUCACAGCGCUCACAGUUCACACCUGCUGUGUGAUGCUGGCAGUCACACUGAGGAUUCACCUGCAGAGAAACACAGAGAAAGGAUCACUGCAGCAAAUCAAAUAAUAAUAAACAAAUACGGUUCUGAGACAUUUGGGGUCGAAGCUGGGUUUAGCAUAGUUCACUGAACAAUCUGAAACGUUGACUUUAACUAAAUGUAUCAUGUCAACAGAUUUCACAUAACUAUUAGGUUAGUUGAAAGCAAUAAUAUUAAGGUUAAGUAAAAACAUUAAGUGCAACUUAUUAUUUUUGCACUCAACUAACCUAAUACAGUUAUGUGAAAUCUGACAUAAUACAUUCAAUUAAAGUCAACGUUUCACUUUUUGUGAAAUAAACCAAAAGCAGGAAUAAGCUGUAAGAAAAACAUUUGCCUACCAGCAACUCCAUAAACCCCCCCUUCCUCAAACCCCCCCACACACCUGUAUGCCGCUGGCCUGCGGGCUGCUGUAGGCCUCUGGCAGGCACCGGUUGGCGUGUCCGUGGCACAUGCAUCUGCCCACCACCUUCAUCUCCUUCAGGGCGUAGAACCUGCUGAGCGCUCUGCCUGGCACCCGGGGGACAUCGCCCAGCUCUGUGAGCCUCACCCUCAGCCCCGUCACCCCCGACACAUCUGAGGGGGAGAGAGCAGGUCAGCAGCGUACCCUGUGACCCAGUGAACUCAUUCAUGACAGACAAUUGAGAGACUCACCUUCAAUCUUUUGGCUUUUGGAAGCUGGAACAUAGGCAUACUGACGCAAAGGACUGUAUUGGAUCUGGAAAAGAGACAUUUAAAUGUCAUUUUAAUUUAUAUAACAUCAUUGUUUUCCUUCAGUGUGAUUUGCUCUUAUUUCACAACACAAUGUUUUUUUCUUUCUUUGUGAAUGCAUUCCUGCCCAGGCUUUAACAGGUUGGAACUGCGUGUAUACUUGUCUAAACAUCACAUUUAUCAUGAGUUAACGCUAAAUCAAUUACACAUUUUUUCCAAAAUUACACAAAACUGCAGGAAUUAAAUCUAGUUUGUAAAGGUGUUUAUUUUUAAUAAUACAGUUAAUUUAACCCUUCAAAUCACACACAAAUCACAAAGUGUUUAUUGCCUUAAAACCUACCUAGAUAUUUUCUAAAGAGAGCAAAACACCUUACACUGAAUUUGGCCAAAUUGUUUGCCCACAAGCAGCACAAAAAGAAGACACUGAAACAAGGUCUUCUUAUGCUGAGGACAUCACAGUUCUUCAAUUUAAUAACAAUACACAUUUAAACAAUGUUAGAUCUUAUUUUAAAAUCUGACAGAAACGAAACAUUUAGAGAAAUGAGCCUUGAAAAAGGUAAAGCCUUACGGUGUGAUCUUGGUAUGGGCUUGCUCCAGUAGGGGGCAGUGUGUAGCAGUAUGUGUGUUCCAGAGUCAGAGGAGUUGCUGUGGGGAUGCCAGGAAAAGAUUUUGCACAGUCUGUAGCCAGGUACAGGGCGGGCUGCCACCCCUUGCCGUCAUCCAGAGUCCUCUCUAUAACUAAGGCAUUGGGACGAGGACUCUGCGGAGAAAUACAAGUGCUCUGUGAUGCAAAGAUACAAUACCAUCCUAAAGAAGAUUUAAACAUCCAUCAAACAACAGAAGUGAGUGUGUUUCUUUGUGUUGGUGUGAUCCAGCAUACCUUAAAGCUGAGCUGCAGGUUGUCCAGCUGGAACAGAUUGCCCAGGUCCAACUGGAGGGUCACCGGGGUCACCUCUACAGGAAACACAGCAGCACACAUGUUCACAGAGAAAUACUUUAAUACUCAAAUACAUGUUUCAGAUAGAUUUCAUGACGUUUGGUUUCCAACAGCCAAGGACAGCACUAUUUUUCUUUCUUUAUCUCUUUCUUUCUUUCUGUGCCCACCUUUCUUGGACUGCCACCAUCUCUGCGGUCCGGCGGUGGACAGGACGUCCCGGACCGUGUGGGCCAGCCGAGCGUUUGGGUUGGUGGAGUCACAUGGACAACACUUCAUCCUCCUCUAAGAAUCACAAAACAAACAAACAUCAGUAUCAACGCGCUUUCCCACAGAACUGCAUUGUAAUAUGUGUGUAUGUCCAGUGUCAUUAGGGGCAGGCACAGCCCCACCUAGUGUCAGCAGAAAGUAAUGCAAAUAAUAAUUCCCAAAAUAUGCAAAAAAUAUAUGUUAAAAUAUAUUCUAAGAUCAUGUUUAGUCAUCUG